rnacentral:rRNA from 1 species
GAAAGUAAGUAAGGGCAGACGGUGGAUGCCUAGGCUCUCGGAGGCGAUGAAGGACGUGAUAAGCUGCGAAAAGCUUGGGGUAGGUGCAAAUAACCAUUGAUCCCAAGAUAUCCGAAUGGGGCAACCCGGCAGGUUGAAGGCCUGUCAUCCCUUAAUGGGAGGCAAACGUGGGGAACUGAAACAUCUAAGUACCCAUAGGAGGAGAAAACAAAAGUGAUUCCGCAAGUAGUGGCGAGCGAACGCGGAACAGCCCAAACCGUUAUUGUUUAGGCAAUAGCGGGGUUGUAGGACCACGAUAUAGCAAGAACUUAAUCAAGUGGAAUGUUUUGGAAAGAACAGCGAAAUACGGUGAUAGCCCGGUACACGACUGGUUAACGAAGCUUAGUGGUAUCCUGAGUAGCGCGGGGCACGAGAAAUCCUGUGUGAAACAGCGGGGCCCAUCCCGUAAGGCUAAAUACUCCCGAGAGACCGAUAGUGAACCAGUACCGUGAGGGAAAGGUGAAAAGAACCUCGAACAGAGGAGUGAAAUAGACCCUGAACCCGUCUGCCUACAAGCGGUCGGAGCAUCUUAGGAUGUGACGGCGUGCCUUUUGCAUAAUGAACCUACGAGUUACUUUCUCCGGCAAGGUUAAGUUCUUCAGGAACGUAGCCGAAGCGAAAGCGAGUCUUAACAGGGCGAUUUAGUCGGAGUGAGUAGACGCGAAACCAAGUGAUCUACCCUUGUCCAGGAUGAAGGUUAGGUAACACUAACUGGAGGUCCGAAUGGUUAUACGUUGAAAAGUGUUCCAAUGAGGUGAGGGUAGGGGUGAAAGGCUAAUCAAACUUGGAGAUAGCUCGUACUCCCCGAAAUGCAUUUAGGUGCAGCCUGUGAACUAUAUAGCAUGAGGUAGAGCGACUGAUUGGAUGCGAGGGCUUCACCGCCUAUCAAGUCCAGAUAAACUCCGAAUGCGUGCUAUAGUUAUUCAUGGAGUGAGGGCGCGGGUGCUAAGGUCCGUGUCCGAGAGGAGAAGAAUCCAGACCACCAGCUAAGGUCCCGAAAUAACAAUUAAGUUGAACUAACGAAGUCAGACUGCAAAGACAGCUAGGAUGUUGGCUUGGAAGCAGCCAUUCAUUUAAAGAGUGCGUAACAGCUCACUAGUCGAGGGGUUUGGCGUGGAUAAUAAUCGGGCAUAAAUUGUUUACCGAAGCUGUGGAUUUCGAAAGAAAUGGUAGGGGAGCAUUCUAACGGCGCAGAAGAUGAGGGAUAACCCUUGUUGGAGCUUUUAGAAAAGCAAAUGUAGGUAUAAGUAACGAUAAAGGAGGUGAGAAACCUCCUCGCCGAAAGACUAAGGUUUCCUGAUCAACGUUAAUCGGAUCAGGGUAAGUCGGGCCCUAAGGUUAAGCCGAACGGCGAUACCGAUGGAAGAAUGGUUUAAUAUUCCCAUACUACUUUAUGGAGUGAUGUGGAGACGGAGAAGUGACAGUCCUGCCGGCAGACGGAAUAGCCGGUUAAAGGGUGUAGACGUAGAUCGAGGUAGGCAAAUCCGCCUUGAGAGUCGAACCUGACAGUAUGCAGCGUGCUUGCACAAAGCAAUAUGGAUGUAAACAGGCUCCCAAGAAAAUCCGCUAAACAUAAUUCAUAAAGUACCCGUACCGUAAACGGACACACGUAGUUGGGUUGAAAAUACUGAGGCGCUCGAGUGAUUCACGGUUAAGGAACUAGGCAAAAUGGUCCUGUAACUUCGGGAUAAAGGACGCCAUUCCAGAGAUGGAAUGGCCGCAGAGAAUAGGCCCAGGCGACUGUUUAACAAAAACACAUGGCUAUGCAAAAUGGAAACAUGCAGUAUANAGUGUAGACGUAGAUUAUGGUAGGCAAAUCCGCCGUAAGAGUCGAACUUGACAGUAUGCAGCGUGCUUGCACAAUGCAAUAUGGAUGUAAACAUGCUCCCAAGAAAAUCCGCUAAACAUAAUUCAUAAAGUACCCGUACCGUAAACGGACACACGUAGUUGGGUUGAAAAUACUGAGGCGCUCGAGUGAUUCACGGUUAAGGAACUAGGCAAAAUGGUCCUGUAACUUCGGGAUAAAGGACGCCAUUCCAGAGAUGGAAUGGCCGCAGAGAAUAGGCCCAGGCGACUGUUUAACAAAAACACAUGGCUAUGCAAAAUGGAAACAUGCAGUAUAUAGCCUGACACCUGCCCGGUGCUGGAAGGUUAAGAGGAGAGCUCAGGAGCAAUCCGAAGGUUUGAAUUGAAGCCCCAGUAAACGGCGGCCGUAACUAUAACGGUCCUAAGGUAGCGAAAUUCCUUGUCGGGUAAGUUCCGACCUGCACGAAUGGUGUAACGAUCUGGGCACUGUCUCAACCGUGAGCUCGGUGAAAUUGUAGUAUCGGUGAAGAUGCCGAUUACCCGCGAUGGGACGAAAAGACCCCGUGAACCUUUACUAUAGCUUUACAUUGAGUUUGGGCAAUGGAUGUGUAGGAUAGGCCGGAGACAAAGAAACGGGUACGCCAGUAUUCGUGGAGUCGACGUUGAAAUACGGCCCUUCUAUUGUUUGAGUUCUAACCCGCAGGAGUGGGGACACUGUAUGGUGGGUAGUUUGACUGGGGUGGUCGCCUCCAAAAGUGUAACGGAGGCUUCUAAAGGUACCCUCAGACCGAUUGGUAACCGGUCGUAGAGUGUAAUGGCAUAAGGGUGCUUGACUGAGAGACCGACAAGUCGAUCAGGUAGGAAACUAGAGCAUAGUGAUCCGGUGGUUCCGUAUGGAAGGGCCAUCGCUCAAAGGAUAAAAGGUACUCCGGGGAUAACAGGCUGAUCAUUCCCAAGAGCUCAUAUCGACGGAAUGGUUUGGCACCUCGAUGUCGGCUCGUCACAUCCUGGGGCUGGAGAAGGUCCCAAGGGUUGGGCUGUUCGCCCAUUAAAGUGGCACGCGAGCUGGGUUCAGAACGUCGUGAGACAGUUCGGUCUCUAUCUAUCGUGGGCGCAGGAUAUUUGAGGGGUUCUGACACUAGUACGAGAGGACCGUGUUGGACAGACCACUGGUUUACCGGUUGUACCGCCAGGUGCACUGCCGGGUAUCUAAGUCUGGAUUGGAUAAGUGCUGAAAGCAUCUAAGUACGAAGCCAGCCUCAAGAUGAGAUAUCCCUGAAGGGUCGUUGUAGACUACGACGUAGAUAGGCUACAGGUGUAAGUGCAGUAAUGUGUGAGCCGAGUAGUACUAAUCGCCCGAGACUUUCAGAA